CUGCACUCCCUUUGUAUCUGUACAAGAAAAAUCAUUCCAAUGGUGGUUUCAUGAAAGUUUACUGCAAAAUGUUUCUCUUCGAUCUAAUGAUAGACCUAGGAGAGAUGUACUUGCGACUGGCUUGGGAGCAUAUGAUUGGCUCUACUGCACAAAUAAAUUCUGAAAUAUUAAGAUAUAAAUUAGCAAAUCUUGCCUGUCAUGCAGCUACAGGCUUAGAUACUCAAUAUGGAAUUAACAAUAAUAUUGCUAAUCUCCAGCAACAUCAAACUUAUGUUAUGGUGGAUAUUACUAAUAUUAUUAAAGAUAAAUUUAAUGUUUUAGUAAAUGAAUUAUAUAAUUUUACACAUGAGACAGCCUGGGCUAUGUUAUGCUCUCAAGUACAAUCUGAUCUAUCUACUGACUUAAAGAUUCAACUUCAAAGUUUAUGGUCUAGAAAGUGGCCAGCUUCUUUAAGUUUAGCUGCAUCUAAGUCAGUCACUAAUUUUGCCAUGACACAUCUUUUAUGGUGGGAAGUAAUUUUAUCUGACUGCACCACUGACUUUUGUAUGAUUCAUACAUUAAUUCCUUGGUCUGGUAAAGAUACUAUUAUUUAUCGCUUAGCGACAAUUGGUCUUCCUGCUAAUGGUUCAUUACUGUUUCCAGUAUUGUCACAUAACAUUGAUGAAUCAAAAUGGACACUUGUUGAUGUAUCAUUGUGUCAUUCCAAUGUAAAUUCGUUUAUCUGUUCCCUUUCACAAUUCCAUACAACCAAUGAAACAUGUUGGGAAAAUCAAAAGUCUUGUACCUUACAAAGUCAUUUUAAUGUACUUAGACCGGUAUUUUAUUUAGGAUCUGACAGAGUUUGUUUUCAUUUAUUUAAUUCUGAUACUAUUAUAUUCCAAACACAGGAUAAUGUAUUUGCUAGUUCUCAUUUAUUACCUGGUACCUGGUGUAAUACUAUUCCACUUAAAUAUAUUGCAUCAUCUAAUUGGAAUUUUACCAUGCCCCAAACUCUUAAUAUUACUUUAAAUUUAACAUGGGACGAUGUUAUGAAUUUUUCUGUUUAUAAUUUACCUUUGGGUAUGGGAUCACAAAUGAAGAAAUGGUUAACUGAUUCUACUAUAAUUUCUUCCUUGUUACAAAAUCUAAAACAUGUUUCUGUAGAUACUAAAAUUACAGUUGAACACGAACAAGGAAUUUUAAAAUCAGCUACUUCUAGUAUUUUACAGGAUGCAAAUAUAUCUUGGUGGGAAUCUGUAUUUGGAUAUAGAUACUCCUAUCUCUCUCUUUUCUUGGUGUCUGGAUGGAAUUCUUUUGAUUUGCACUUGGGCUCUUCUGAAUUGAUCUGCCUGACUACUACUAGACAUGCUGAGGCCUUGUGACAAGUUUACCUAUGGUUGCUGCAAUCGUUUCCUGCAACUAACUGUGUCAUCUACUUGUUUCACCCUAUGGUUCUUCCUUGGCCUUUUCAGUGGUUAUAUACACUAUUUGUUCCUGUUUGUAAGAUUACACAUGUGGUAUUUCUUGUCGGAACUGCUCCUACAGACUUUAUUGCUUUCAAUUCUGCAACAAAUUGCUCUUACUACUAACGUAGUUAUGAACUGAACUUUCUCUGCAAUGACGCUGCUAUUGAUUUGAUUCCUUCAAUCAAGACUUGAACAACUUUACUUAUGAACUAUGUAAUUGUUGGAACAUUCUUUAUAGUAGUGUAUGACGUCAAAUCCACUGUCUAUUGUUUGAAAUAUGUCUGGUAUAUGUCUGGUAGUUUCUUCUGUGUUGGCCCUUAGUGUUUAAUCAUUGGGAUUGUGUCUGACAAAAAGAAAAGAAAGUGGGGGAAUGUGGAGUUAUAAAAUCAUGAUUAGAAUAAAUUAUAAAAUCAUGAUUAGAAUAAAAUAUACAAAGAAGAAUUACACAUUAAAUAUGUUUUUCAUAGAUAAAACAUUUAGAUAUAAAUUAAGAUAUAGAAUAUGGAAUAAAGAGUUAUAAAUUAAAUUAAUUUAGGAUUAGUCAGUUUAGUUAGUAAUGGGUUAAAUGCUGUUUUAAAGACAAUGUAUUUAGAACUGUGACAUUUAAAUUCAGUUGCUGUUGUCAAUCAAAACACCUAUACUGCUAGCUAGACAUAGUAUUAUUAACACUCUAAUACACUGCGCAUGAACAAGUUAAAUUAGUAUUUUCUAUAUGUCAGCCAAAAUUAUAAAGUCUUUUAAGGAAGUUAAAAUAUACAAAGAUAGCCUUUUCAUUUAUGGUAUGCUUUGAUUUCAUUGGCUUAAAAUGUGUAUAUAAGCUUUGCAUUUGUAUGAGGCUAUUGUUAUCUUCUGCCUUCAGAUCUCGAGGUAUGUAUUAAUCUUGCUGUGAUUAAUAAAUGAUUUAUGUCAACUAA